AGCAACGCAACGGUGGCCCAAUAUCAGAGAGAACUCCACUCUGUGGAGUGAGCAGUGAUAAUUAAGCAGUCCGUUUAAUUUUGCAGAUUCAAGUUGCUCUUCAUAAUUUUCGCCACCAGAUGUCACCGGAGAGGACUGUGUUGAAAAGCUUCGAGUAAUGAACCGUUUUUCAAUACAAGCUUCAGUGAUUCAGAAAGCUUCAUUUGGCCAUCACUAGUCCUUUUCCUGUGUGCAGCAUAUCUAGUUUUGCUUCGCCUUUGUGUCUUGAUGUCUAAUUAGUCCAAGCUGUGUUUCCCUCCUGUUUCUCACUCCCUCGUUACUGCCUGUGUAUUUAAGCCCUGUGCUUUCCUCUGUUUGUUGCUAGUCUGUCUGCAUUUCUUCCGCUUGUUAUUCCCUGUGUUUCAGGCUGUACCUUGUUGUUUGUUUUCCUGUUCUGUGUUCUCCGUCUCAAGUUUUUGUUUUGUGUUCUGGGUUUCUAGUCCCAGGGUUUUUAUUCCUUUGAAUCUGUUUUAGUUUCUCACAGUUAAGGUUUUGCUUUAGUCUAGUCACUGCCCUGUUCUGGGGCAUUGGUUUCCAUGGGUUUGGAAGUGCUGAAAGAAAGAGGACAGGCUGGUGGUGGAGGAAUAGGUUUCCAGGGAGAAUGAACCAGCUCGGCUUUGGCAGAUGCGACGUUUCUCUAUCACUCUACUACAAGCAGCUCAGGAGUUUCUGGACGCUGAUCUCCACGACCAGGCAUCGCUUUGUUGCCGCACCCCUUAGGUUUGCAUCGUUCAUCAUCUCCACCUCCUUGCCCUCCUGCCACUGUCUCUUGUGGAUCACUGGAAAACGAGGUUGGAAUCAUCCCUCUCGCUCACCAGUCUAGGAGCUCACCUGGCCAGCCACCUCCCCCCAGAACUGUUUACGGUUCAUCCGCCAAUUUAGACCCGCUCUCCUCGUGCCAAGGAUCCCUCCUUUGUGUUGCCAUUAUUUCCUGUGUUCCAGUAAGAUAAACUCGUUGAAACCUUACCAUUACCUCUUGUGCUUGAAUCUCCUUUCGGUUCCAAGUUCUCGGACUAGCCUCUGGGUUCCCAUGACAA